AUGCAAAACCCUAAGCUUGGGGAUGCUAGUUUUGCUAUGUCUACUACUUGUUGUAAUGAUCAUGAUUGGGGUGAUUCUUCUGAUGAUAUUAAAAAUUUAUUUAAGUCCCAUGAUGAAUAUGAGAUUGAUAAUAGUGUUUGCAAUAUCAUUGAAAGUGGGUUUGGAAGAGUGUCAACUUUAUAUCCCACAUAUUUGAAGAAUAUUCAAUCUUAUGAAAUUUUUGAUAAAAGUGGGUUUGGAAAGGUCAUGACUUUAGUUAAUGUUAAUCCCACUACUUUGGAAGAGUGUAAACUUUGCAUGCAUAUGGAUCGUGUUGAAAAUAUUUUGUGUGAUAGCUAUUUUUUUGAAUUUUCUUAUGAUCCCUCAUGCAAUUAUUAUGAGAGAGGAAAAUAUGGUGGUAGAAAUUUUCAUGUUACUAAAUUACCUCUCGUUAUGUUGAGAUUGCUAUUGUUUCUUUCCGCUUCCUUGCAUAUGCUAGUUUUUGCUUUUCUUGACAAUUUUUUGCCUAUAAAAUGCCUAUGCAUAGGAAUUAUGUUAGACUUAGAUGUGUUUGUCACCUGUUUUAUGAUGCUCUCUUUGUGCUUCAAUUCUUGUCUUUCAUGUGAGCAUCAUUAA
rnacentral:rRNA from 1 species